UUAAGCGAGCAAAGCAGGAAGGAGAAUUGGAUGUACUUGUCCAUCUAGGGACAAAUGACUUGGCUUGCAAUGAGGUUUCAGAGGUAAAGGAAGUUUUUAGCAUUUUUUCCAAUGAUUUACAGCAGGUUGCUUCCACAUUGUCAUUCUCUGAAGUUCUGCCUGUGCAUAACACUCAGAAUGACAGGCGGAUGCGUAUUAGGGACUUUAACUUGUGGCUUGGUGAAUGGUGU